rnacentral:rRNA from 1 species
UACGGGGGGGGUAAGCGUUGUUCGGAAUUACUGGGCGUAAAGGGCUCGUAGGCGGCCAACUAAGUCAUACGUGAAAUCCCUCAGCUUAACUGGGGAACUGCGUGUGAUACUGGAUGGCUUGGAUUUGGGAGAGGGAUGCGGAAUUCCAGGUGUAGCGGUGAAAUGCGCAGAUAUCAGGAGGAACACCGAUGGCGAAGGCAGGUCUCUGGGCCACUACUGACGCUGAGAAGCGAAAGCGUGGGGAGCGAACAGG